ACCGGCGGCUGGGCUCUGGGGCUCUGCGCACUGACUUGGGGCCGGCCGCGGGCAGGCGGGCAUCUGGCGGCCGAGGCCGGGACUUCGGGGCCCCUCCCGGGCGAGUCGCGGGGCGGCGGCGGGAAGGGGCGCCGCACGGAGGAAGUGCCCUCUUGGCCGCAGCCAGAGCCGCGCCGCAGGUGCCGCGAUGUCGUCCUGGCCGGGGCGCGAGGAUGCGAGGGCUGGGGGCGCGUGGUGGCCGCGGGAGCCGCUGGAUCAGGAACUGCAGCGGGCCCGGGAGCAGAAGCGGCGGCGGCACGACGCCCAGCAGCUGCAGCAGCUCAAGCGCCUGGAGUCCUUAAAGGGUCUCACCUGUGGCCAGGAGCGGUGGCUCACGCCUGUAAUCCCAGCACUUUGAGAGGCCGCGGUGGACAGAUCACGAGUUAUGAAAAACCUCCUCCUGGGCUUAUCAAGGUUGGCAUUGCAAAUGGUAUGGUCACCGAACAGGCUACAAAGAAUGCCCUUUCUUUAUCAAAGACAACCAAAAGUUACAACAGUUCAGAGUAGCACAUGAGGAUUUCAUGUAUGACAUCAUACGAGACAAUAAACAACAUGAAAAGAAUGUAAGGAUACAGCAGUUAAAACAGUUACUGGAGGAUUCUACCUCAGGUGAAGAUAGGAGCAGCUCCAGUUCCUCUGAAGGUAAAGAGAAACACAAGAAAAAGAAGAAGAAAGAAAAGCAUAAGAAAAGGAAGAAAGAAAAGAAAAAGAAGAAAAAACGGAAGCACAAAUCUUCCAAGUCAAAUGAGGGUUCUGACUCAGAGUGACAAGGAUGUGACUUGUUCAACAUUCUCUUCUCAAACACUGACCAAGGAACAGAGGAAGAUGCAGUCAGAGAAAGUAGCAGGAUAGAGACGCCGAGAGAGGAGUAUAUGUGGGUCACAGCAGUGAGCUCCCACCCGCCUUGCAGUGAAGAUGUGACCCCAGGAGAGGGAGUGUCUCCUUCCAGGUGCUAGCUCUGGACAGCAGCUGAUUUUAGGCAGGAAAGUUUCUUCAUCGUUGUCCUCCCUGCUGGUCACAUGAGUUUACGAUUCCUUAGAAGUGUCUCCCACAGGGUGGCAGGACUGGGAGAAUCUCUGAGGCGUGUCUUCCAGGCCCUCCCACAGCUUGUGCCCUCCACAGUGUAGACUUGAACACUUGGCCUCAUGUGAUCCUUCCACCUUGGCCUCCCAAAGCAUUGGGAUUACAGGCGAGAGCCACUGGUUGGCUAAAAUAUUUAUAUUUACCUGACAUGAUUUGUUGAUUUGGGGGCUAGGGAGUUCUUAAAACAACAAUAAAAAAUCUUCUGUGGCUGCA